UACGGAGGGUGCAAGCGUUAUCCGGAUUCACUGGGUUUAAAGGGUGCGUAGGAGGGCAGGUAAGUCAGUGGUGAAAUCCUGGGGCUUAACCCCAGAACUGCCGUUGAUACUAUCGGUCUUGAAUGUCGUGGAGGUGAGCGGAAUAUGUCAUGUAGCGGUGAAAUGCUUAGAUAUGACAUAGAACACCAAUUGCGAAGGCAGCUUGGUACACGGAUAUUGACUCUGAGGCACGAAAGCGUGGGGAUCAAACAGG
rnacentral:rRNA from 1 species